rnacentral:lncRNA from 1 species
CCCUGUAGAAGAUGAGCAGGGGAAGGGCAAGUGUGGGUGAGAUCUUGCAUGUGUGUUAUUUGUUAGAUUUACGACCGCUAGUAGCACUAUCAAAAGUGACGUUUAUUGGGUGUGAAAUGUUCUCAUUUGUUAGAUAACACAAGCUGUUUAGUAUUGAAGCAACUUUCAGACAGCAAAGUCUCCUCUGUCAUUAGGGACCUCCUAGGAUUAAUUACUGAGAUCUAUGCCCCAACGUUCAGAUGCCUCCCAGAACCAUAAACUUGUAAAUCAUGCAUGAGCUGAUUGCCAAGAAAUUUUCCUCAAAGCCACGAUCUCUCUGUAAGGGGGACAAGGACAAGUUAAGUGAAUAGUCAGUUGCUCAUAGGCUGCUGACGUGCUGACAACCAGGAGUGUCGUAGCACAAGAAGAGAAUGGAGCAGCCAUUGCCAAGGGGAGGCAGAGCGGAGCUGUUCCCAGCUGCAAGCCUGGUCCUGCAAGAGUCUCCACAUUUUUUCCUAGUGCAGAGUCUGCAGUUGGGGGACAUGAAUUCUGGUGCUCUGUUCUCCAUGAAUGCUUCUCACCUUUCUUCCUGGAGCC